GAUGAACGCUGGCGGCGUGCCUAAUACAUGCAAGUCGAGCGAACAGACGAGAGUGCUUGCACUCUCUGACGUUAGCGGCGGACGGGUGAGUAACACGUGGGUAACCUACCUAUAAGACUGGGAUAACUUCGGGAAACCGGAGCUAAUACCGGAUAAUAUUUAGCUUCGCAUGAAGCAAUAGUGAAAGACGGUUCUGCUGUCACUUAUAGAUGGACCCGCGGUGUAUUAGCUGGUUGGUGAGGUAACGGCUCACCAAGGCAACGAUACAUAGCCGACCUGAGAGGGUGAUCGGCCAAACUGGGACUGAGACACGGCCCAGACUCCUACGGGAGGCAGCAGUAGGGAAUCUUCCGCAACGGACGAAAGUCUGACGGAGCAAUGCCGCGUGAGUGAAGAAGGUUUUCGGAUCGUAAAACUCUGUUGUAAGGGAAGAACAAGUACGUUAGUAACUGAACGUACCUUGACGGUACCUUACCAGAAAGCCACGGCUAACUACGUG
rnacentral:rRNA from 1 species